CAGGAACUGACACUGGCUUUAUUAUCUGAAAUUCCAUUGCACAGGGACUGCUCUCUUUUCCAAGACUUGCCGAAAACACAGAUGUGUCCUGGAAAUGAAAACAACUUGCUGUGGAUUUCACAUGAACGUGAAAAUGACCACUAUCCCAUCCUCCGGAGAGGAGAGAUUUUAAUGGGGAAGAAAAAAGACAUGCUCCAGAGGACUCUUUCUUGUGUGUCUGUAUCUUAGCAAUCCAUUCCUGCUCCAUCAAAAUGCUGAAGUAUCUGCUUCCUGCUCCAGCAUCCCUCCGAGCCACAGCAAGCUAGCAGCCAGUACCAACAUGCAAAAAACACUAUCUUUAGGAACUUGACGUUUGAUAAUGAAUUUUAGCAAAAGGAAUGAUUUCCUGCCAGUUGUCUCCGCCUCUCAUUUACCACUGUGUUUCCGCUUAAGCACAAAUAAAUAGAGUAAAGCAAACGUA
rnacentral:lncRNA from 1 species